AAACCAUCCCAAACAAGAAGCAGAAAAUUUGGAACAUACACCCCUGCACCAGAGCAAUCCAUAAACUCAAAAAUUUCUUCAAGGCACCACGAAGCUUAAGAGUUCUUCAUUGUGAAGCCCAAGCCUUAAACUAGAAGAAGUAGAAGAAAGACCGGUAACCAGGCUUUUCACUGGCCAACUGAAGCCACAGAAUGCCACUGCUUUUCACUACAUAGGUAUCUGCACCCUUGAUGCCAAUAGGAUGAUGGUGUAUUCUGAGUACCACCCCUCAUUCAUCUUAAAGCUUGCUUUCAGCCCUGAUCC
ensembl:lncRNA